UCUCUUGUUGUUGCUGAAAGUAGUUUCUGCCUAAACCACUUUGACCGCUAUGAAGAAACCUAUCCAACGGUCCACCAUUACAAUCAAAACUUCCACCGUUUUGUGCAAUCUCUGGACUUUUCUCUUUAGGUGUGUUCAUCUCUUGACCGCUCGCUAUUAACCUAUCCAACGACCCAGCAUUACAUUCACGAUCUCGACCGUUGUGAGCAAUCUCUGAACUUUUCUCUUCAGGUCUCUUUGCUGCUACCGCAGCAACUCCUCUCUUAUUAGGAGGCGGACGGGAAGCUACAUUUUCAUUGGGUGCUCCACACAAUUCAGUCUUCACCCAAUCCAUUAAACGCUCUCUAGAAGCCGUAAGCUCAUCAAGCAACGUCUCCAUAAACGUUCCAACACCGUCCGUCCCCAUAACUGUUUCAUCUUUCUUCUUAUUGUCCUCCACACAAACAGUUUUCGGUUUCCUUUUCCUUACUUGCUUAACUUUCUCAGGCUUAGUCUCAUCUUUCUUGCUCCUCCUCUUCCGGGUUUUCACAGGUUGUUCUCUAGUCACAGUUUUUGUUCCAUUAUCAAUCUGAUUCGACUCAAGAUUUGGGUUAUGAAUGAUAGGAUGCUGGGUCGAGUUUGAAUCUGGAUCAUCGCUUGAAGAAUCUUCAAAGUCGUUCUCUUUCCUUCUGAAAUCCCAUUUCUCACUGAAUCUUGGCUCAUCUCCCAUUCUUAAAGAUUCAGUCUAAUUUCACUCUGUUCUUACAGAUUGCACCUUUCUUUCAAAGAUUUUUCAUACAGCUGCAAGAAUAAAAAAACACAACAUGGAUAACUAUAAACAACACAAGUCUGUUGUAGAUCGAAAUGGAUUACGGAUCAGCACAUCAUCAACUUUGUAAAAAGAUGGGAGUGUUCUUCUAAACAAUGGAAUAUUAGGCGAG
rnacentral:lncRNA from 1 species